AGGGAUACUGUUUGCUGUUCUUGUUGCCGUACUAACCGAGAAAGGUUCUGGGAAACUGAGUGUGUCCACGAUGCUAGAUUCGGUUCCAUUUUGGACUUUCGGCUUUCUGUACAUAAUUCCUGGGAUUUUUGGCACCAUAGCAGCAUUAGUCCAAAACAAAUGUCUGUACGUGUUGGUCAUUGUGUCCAGUAUCCUGUGUUUAAUGGCCAUGAUUGGUGUUGUGUUGGUCAUUGCGUUUGGCAGUUAUGAUGUGUUUACGAGGAGGACAAUCUCGAUAGAGGAUUGCCAGACGAUAAACAGCACGUGCGU